GACAGAGGGUGCAAACGUUUGCUCGGAAUCACUGGGCGUAAAGGGCGUGUAGGCGGGACGGUAAGUCGGGCGUGAAAUCCCUAGGCUCAACCUAGGAACUGCACUCGAAACUACCAUUCUUGAGUGUCGGAGAGGAAAGCGGAAUUCCUGGUGUAGAGGUGAAAUUCGUAGAUAUCAGGAGGAACACCAGUGGCGAAGGCGGCUUUCGUGGACGAUACUGACGUGAGACGCGAAAGCGUGGGGAGCAAAACAGG
rnacentral:rRNA from 1 species